UACGUAGGGUGCGAGCGUUGUCCGGAAUUAUUGGGCGUAAAGAGCUUGUAGGUGGUUUGUCGCGUCUGCUGUGAAAAUCCGAGGCUCAACCUCGGGCCUGCAGUGGGUACGGGCAGACUAGAGUGCGGUAGGGGAGAUUGGAAUUCCUGGUGUAGCGGUGGAAUGCGCAGAUAUCAGGAGGAACACCAAUGGCGAAGGCAGAUCUCUGGGCCGUAAGCUGACGCUGAGGAGCGAAAGCAUGGGGGAGCGAACAGGAAUUAGAUACCCCGGG
rnacentral:rRNA from 1 species